rnacentral:rRNA from 5 species
GGGUUGUGAGGUUAAGCGACUAAGCGUACACGGUGGAUGCCCUGGCAGUCAGAGGCGAUGAAGGACGUGCUAAUCUGCGAUAAGCGCCGGUAAGGUGAUAUGAACCGUUAUAACCGGCGAUUUCCGAAUGGGGAAACCCAGUGUGAUUCGUCACACUAUCAUUAACUGAAUCCAUA